AAUCCAGAAGCGAGAAAAGCACAGUAACUAAACUGAAGUUUGGAGAAUGCUCUCUUAUGUGCAUAUCCUGGAUAUUAUGGAAGAAUAUAGAAAAAUUGAAACCAAUAGCUUCCCAAGGGAUGCCUGAGAGACAGUGGCAGCUAUGAGACCAGAUGGAGGGCUGAAUUUGAACCAAUUGCUUUGUAAAGAAAAUACAAGCUGUGUAAACAGAAGAGGUCAAUCAAGGAUAUGGUUACUGUAAGUCACCAAAUCUAAUCCAAAGCCUUCACUCCAGUUCCAUCAGAUUCAAGACAAAUGCCCCAGUAUGGAAUCAAGGAGAAUAAACACAGUGCAGUGUUUUAUGACUAACCUCACUGAACUCAAUGACAGAAUUUUUUUUUUAAAUUGUGACAAUGCUCUGAGCUCUAAAAGGAAUUACUUGGCAGUGUUAACUGUCCUGAAUGACAUAAAAUACUAAAAUAUCAAGAAAAAAGGAAAGUAAUGAUCCUUCAGUGAGCCAGAAAUGAAAGUGUUGCCUCUCAUCCCAAAAUAAAGAUGGAAAAAUCCUUUUCCAUAUCAUUUGUAAAGUUUUUAUUUUUAUUUGAUGUUGAAUUCUGAAUGCUGACAUAGAGAUCGUAUUGGAGACACAUUUUUCACACAGUCUGAGAAAGUACCUAUAACACUAUAAUGUGAUGGAAGGUACAACAAUAAUAGCAGGAUGGAAAAGCUUUCGGCUGCAGCAAAUGCAGACACCACAAGGAGGAGAAAAAAGAGACCACCACACAAGCUACUUACCUUUAGAAGGCCUCAGUCAAGGAAAAGAUUACCAGAGAAGGGGAUAUGAAAAUAGAGGAAGACUGUCUAAAAAUCUUCUGAGAUUGCAAGAGG
rnacentral:lncRNA from 1 species